AUUGAACGCUGGCGGCAGGCUUAACACAUGCAAGUCGAGCGGAGAUGAGGUGCUUGCACCUUAUCUUAGCGGCGGACGGGUGAGUAAUGCUUAGGAAUCUGCCUAUUAGUGGGGGACAACAUUCCGAAAGGAAUGCUAAUACCGCAUACGUCCUACGGGAGAAAGCAGGGGACCUUCGGGCCUUGCGCUAAUAGAUGAGCCUAAGUCGGAUUAGCUAGUUGGUGGGGUAAAGGCCUACCAAGGCGACGAUCUGUAGCGGGUCUGAGAGGAUGAUCCGCCACACUGGGACUGAGACACGGCCCAGACUCAUACGGGAGGCAGCAGUGAGGAAUAUUGGACAAUGGGCGGAAGCCUGAUCCAGCCAUGCCGCGUGUGUGAAGAAGGCCUUUUGGUUGUAAAGCACUUUAAGCGAGGAGGAGGCUACUAGUACUAAUACUACUGGAUAGUGGACGUUACUCGCAGAAUAAGCACCGGCUAACUCUGUGCCAGCAGCCGCAGUAA
rnacentral:rRNA from 1 species